GAUGAACGCUGGCGGCGUGCCUAAUACAUGCAAGUCGAGCGAACGGACGGGAAGCUUGCUUCUCUGAUGUUAGCGGCGGACGGGUGAGUAACACGUGGAUAACCUACCUAUAAGACUGGGAUAACUUCGGGAAACCGUAGCUAAUACCGGAUAAUAUUUUGAACCGCAUGGUUCAAAAGUGAAAGACGGUCUUGCUGUCACUUAUAGAUGGAUCCGCGCUGCAUUAGCUAGUUGGUAAGGUAACGGCUUACCAAGGCAACGAUGCAUAGCCGACCUGAGAGGGUGAUCGGCCACACUGGAACUGAGACACGGUCCAGACUCCUACGGGAGGCAGCAGUAGGGAAUCUUCCGCAAUGGGCGAAAGCCUGACGGAGCAACGCCGCGUGAGUGAUGAAGGUCUUCGGAUCGUAAAACUCUGUUAUUAGGGAAGAACAUAUGUGUAAGUAACUGUGCACAUCUUGACGGUACCUAAGCAGAAAGCCACGGCUAACUACGU
rnacentral:rRNA from 1 species